AGCAACAGGGAAGAUCCGCACUUGACGCCAACUACACAUACAAGAAUGCUUGUCAUUCAAUCCCCAAAGCGUUAGGGAAGGUCUCCAGACUAGUUUGGGAUUCUUUGGGAUCCCUGUAUCUGUAAAUGGAUACUUUAAUAGCACUAUCCUUGUAUAGUGUUGCAUUCCUCAUUACUUUAUAUAUUACAAAGUUUCGAGUAGUAAAGUAAAGGGAUGAUGUCUCACUGGUCAUAGCAAAAAGUUAUUGCGGAUACUACCUUGUCGUAGUUAACAGAAUGGAGACUACUCUCCCAAGUUGC
rnacentral:RNase_MRP_RNA from 2 species